CGGCCGGGGCCCCGCCUCUGCGGAGCCGGGCUCGGAGCGGGUGGUCUCGGUCCCGGCGCUGCAGAGCCAGGCCCGGGAGCCCGCGAUGCAGGAGGUCCAGGGGCUGCUGCAGCCUGCGCGAGCCUCGCCACCGUGCAGUGUGCUUUGGCUGUCCCUUGAGUCCUGGUAGGCUUCCGGCUGGAGGCCAGAGAGGGAACUUGGCUGGGGGCUGUGAGGCUGGCCGGAGCCCAGGAAGGCCCCUGCAGGUGUUCCAGUCUCCAGGGAAUCUGACAUCCGUGCUGGUUUCUACCUCUGCUCUGGUUUUGAAUGAAGGAUCAGUGGACUGAUGGAAUCGAAGAUAAGAGAAUGUGGAAAUAAAUGUGACUUCUUCGGCUCUGUAAGAUCUUACUCUUGAAACUAGAGACUGAAUUUCAGAGCUGCAAGAGGUGAAGAGCCCUAGGCGGCCCCCUGGUUGACGGAGAGCCGAGACUUGCUCAGGGACACACAGCAGACGAGGAAGCUGAGAUCCUGACCAAUAAAAUGAGCAGCACCAACUUCACAGGACUUCAGUGGCAGAGCUGGGGCAGUGUCCCCUGAGUCUGCCCAUCUGCGAAUCUGGUGGUCCUCAGGCUCCGGAGUGCCCUCGAGACCCGUGGGAGCAUCUACGGCUCCUGCACGCCCCGCGCAGGGCGGGUCCACUGCGUGCAUCUUUGUAGCAGCCUUCCCAGGUGCUUCUGAUGCGCAGCAGAGUUGAGAAUGCCUGGAGCGAGGUUUCAGUGCUCAAACCCAGCAGCUUUGCUCAGUGAUGAGACGAAGAGAAGCAUCAUCCACCACUUGAGUACUGAGUGAUUUCAUCUAGGACAACUGUUCACAGAUUUCUUUUCCUCGGACUGAGUCAGACCAUGCAGGUAUGACUACCUAUGUGUUCCAUGCUGACCCACUGCCCACACUGAGAGUUCAGAAUCCACAAGUCAGCAAACUUUAUUGGGCACCUGCUGAGUGUGAGGCAGGGUGUGCUGAGUUGGACACCACAGACAGCCCUCCAGAGGCCAGGAAGCUCCCCUUAGCUCUGCAUAGUCUAUUUGUUCUCGUAAGAGGCGCCCAUCAGGGCAAAGUGGAGGAGGCUUCUGGGUGCUUUAAGGGACACAGAGAGCGACAGGUUCAGGGUUGCUGUGGGAGUGGGAUGCCUGCUGCCUCCUGCAGUUUUGAUCUCAGUAGGGGCUUGUCUUUGCCACCCCUUGGCUGCCUGUCCUGGCUCUGACAUCACUGGCCUUAUGACUUGGGUCGCUGCCUGACCUUCCCACCUGCAGUGGGAGGAGGAGCUGGGGCGCCAGGGGAGGAGCAUGGAGGAGCUGAGGUGCCAGGGCAGGAGCACGGAGGAGCUGGGGCGUCAGGGGAGGAGCACAGAGGAGCUGGGGUGUCAGGGGAGGAGCACGGAGGAGCUGGGGCGUCG